rnacentral:rRNA from 1 species
AUUGAACGAUGGCGGCAGGUCUAACACAUGCAAGUCGAGCGGAUGAAGGGAGCUUGCUCCUGGAUUCAGCGGCGGACGGGUGAGUAAUGCCUAGGAAUCUGCCUGGUAGUGGGGGAUAACGUCCGGAAACGGGCGCUAAUACCGCAUACGUCCUGAGGGAGAAAGUGAGGGAUCUUCGGACCUCACGCUAUCAGAUGAGCCUAGGUCGGAUUAGCUAGUUGGUGGGGUAAAGGCCUACCAAGGCGACGAUCCGUAACUGGUCUGAGAGGAUGAUCAGUCACACUGGAACUGAGACACGGUCCAGACUCCUACGGGAGGCAGCAGUGGGGAAUAUUGGACAAUGGGCGAAAGCCUGAUCCAGCCAUGCCGCGUGUGUGAAGAAGGUCUUCGGAUUGUAAAGCACUUUAAGUUGGGAGGAAGGGCAGUAAGUUAAUACCUUGCUGUUUUGACGUUACCAACAGAAUAAGCACCGGCUAACUUCGUG